CAGACUCUCAACAGUUUUAAAGAAAUCUGAAGUCAAAUGAGACGAUAUUCUGUGCCGUCUUUGCCAUUGUCAGCCAGAGCUCUGUGACAACCAUCUCAAGCGACAGCGUCAGCUACGCAACAAAUCUCACUAAAUGCUGUGACAAAAGUAAAUGAAAUUGCACUAAAUCUACAGGGAAUUUUCUUCAAAAAUGUUCAACCUUUGCCUGAGCCCGAGCUGUGCCUGAAAUUGGCUUAGGAUUGUGCACAGCAUCUAUGCGUCUCUUUCGUACGUACGCCUUCUGGCGCCCUGUAAUCAAAAAAGACCCAUGGACAGCUCCAAAUCGUGCCGGAUUUGUCACGCCGAAUUGUUGAAAAUGGCUUUAGCCAGUGAAUUUUGCACAAAACACUGGCUGAAGCAAAAACAACAAUAUCUGAGCAGCUCGUCUCCGGCUGUGCUCGUAAAUCUUCGAGUGGCUUAUCUAUAACAAAACUGUGUGCUUUUUAAUUCGCUGCAAAAAAUAUGCAAAAACAAAAGGCAAAACAA